rnacentral:rRNA from 1 species
GGUUAAGCGACUAAGCGUACACGGUGGAUGCCCUGGCAGUCAGAGGCGAUGAAGGACGUGCUAAUCUGCGAUAAGCGUCGGUAAGGUGAUAUGAACCGUUAUAACCGGCGAUUUCCGAAUGGGGAAACCCAGUGUGUUUCGACACACUAUCAUUAACUGAAUCCAUAGGUUAAUGAGGCGAACCGGGGGAACUGAAACAUCUAAGUACCCCGAGGAAAAGAAAUCAACCGAGAUUCCCCCAGUAGCGGCGAGCGAACGGGGAGCAGCCCAGAGCCUGAAUCAGUGUGUGUGUUAGUGGAAGCGUCUGGAAAGGCGCGCGAUACAGGGUGACAGCCCCGUACACAAAAAUGCACAUGCUGUGAGCUCGAUGAGUAGGGCGGGACACGUGGUAUCCUGUCUGAAUAUGGGGGGACCAUCCUCCAAGGCUAAAUACUCCUGACUGACCGAUAGUGAACCAGUACCGUGAGGGAAAGGCGAAAAGAACCCCGGCGAGGGGAGUGAAAAAGAACCUGAAACCGUGUACGUACAAGCAGUGGGAGCACGCUUCGGCGUGUGACUGCGUACCUUUUGUAUAAUGGGUCAGCGACUUAUAUUCUGUAGCAAGGUUAACCGAAUAGGGGAGCCGAAGGGAAACCGAGUCUUAACUGGGCGUUAAGUUGCAGGGUAUAGACCCGAAACCCGGUGAUCUAGCCAUGGGCAGGUUGAAGGUUGGGUAACACUAACUGGAGGACCGAACCGACUAAUGUUGAAAAAUUAGCGGAUGACUUGUGGCUGGGGGUGAAAGGCCAAUCAAACCGGGAGAUAGCUGGUUCUCCCCGAAAGCUAUUUAGGUAGCGCCUCGUGAAUUCAUCUCCGGGGGUAGAGCACUGUUUCGGCAAGGGGGUCAUCCCGACUUACCAACCCGAUGCAAACUGCGAAUACCGGAGAAUGUUAUCACGGGAGACACACGGCGGGUGCUAACGUCCGUCGUGAAGAGGGAAACAACCCAGACCGCCAGCUAAGGUCCCAAAGUCAUGGUUAAGUGGGAAACGAUGUGGGAAGGCCCAGACAGCCAGGAUGUUGGCUUAGAAGCAGCCAUCAUUUAAAGAAAGCGUAAUAGCUCACUGGUCGAGUCGGCCUGCGCGGAAGAUGUAACGGGGCUAAACCAUGCACCGAAGCUGCGGCAGCGACGCUUAUGCGUUGUUGGGUAGGGGAGCGUUCUGUAAGCCUGUGAAGGUGUACUGUGAGGUAUGCUGGAGGUAUCAGAAGUGCGAAUGCUGACAUAAGUAACGAUAAAGCGGGUGAAAAGCCCGCUCGCCGGAAGACCAAGGGUUCCUGUCCAACGUUAAUCGGGGCAGGGUGAGUCGACCCCUAAGGCGAGGCCGAAAGGCGUAGUCGAUGGGAAACAGGUUAAUAUUCCUGUACUUGGUGUUACUGCGAAGGGGGGACGGAGAAGGCUAUGUUGGCCGGGCGACGGUUGUCCCGGUUUAAGCGUGUAGGCUGGUUUUCCAGGCAAAUCCGGAAAAUCAAGGCUGAGGCGUGAUGACGAGGCACUACGGUGCUGAAGCAACAAAUGCCCUGCUUCCAGGAAAAGCCUCUAAGCAUCAGGUAACAUCAAAUCGUACCCCAAACCGACACAGGUGGUCAGGUAGAGAAUACCAAGGCGCUUGAGAGAACUCGGGUGAAGGAACUAGGCAAAAUGGUGCCGUAACUUCGGGAGAAGGCACGCUGAUAUGUAGGUGAAGUCCCUCGCGGAUGGAGCUGAAAUCAGUCGAAGAUACCAGCUGGCUGCAACUGUUUAUUAAAAACACAGCACUGUGCAAACACGAAAGUGGACGUAUACGGUGUGACGCCUGCCCGGUGCCGGAAGGUUAAUUGAUGGGGUUAGCGGUAACGCGAAGCUCUUGAUCGAAGCCCCGGUAAACGGCGGCCGUAACUAUAACGGUCCUAAGGUAGCGAAAUUCCUUGUCGGGUAAGUUCCGACCUGCACGAAUGGCGUAAUGAUGGCCAGGCUGUCUCCACCCGAGACUCAGUGAAAUUGAACUCGCUGUGAAGAUGCAGUGUACCCGCGGCAAGACGGAAAGACCCCGUGAACCUUUACUAUAGCUUGACACUGAACAUUGAGCCUUGAUGUGUAGGAUAGGUGGGAGGCUUAGAAGUGUGGACGCCAGUCUGCAUGGAGCCGACCUUGAAAUACCACCCUUUAAUGUUUGAUGUUCUAACGUUGACCCGUAAUCCGGGUUGCGGACAGUGUCUGGUGGGUAGUUUGACUGGGGCGGUCUCCUCCUAAAGAGUAACGGAGGAGCACGAAGGUUGGCUAAUCCUGGUCGGACAUCAGGAGGUUAGUGCAAUGGCAUAAGCCAGCUUGACUGCGAGCGUGACGGCGCGAGCAGGUGCGAAAGCAGGUCAUAGUGAUCCGGUGGUUCUGAAUGGAAGGGCCAUCGCUCAACGGAUAAAAGGUACUCCGGGGAUAACAGGCUGAUACCGCCCAAGAGUUCAUAUCGACGGCGGUGUUUGGCACCUCGAUGUCGGCUCAUCACAUCCUGGGGCUGAAGUAGGUCCCAAGGGUAUGGCUGUUCGCCAUUUAAAGUGGUACGCGAGCUGGGUUUAGAACGUCGUGAGACAGUUCGGUCCCUAUCUGCCGUGGGCGCUGGAGAACUGAGGGGGGCUGCUCCUAGUACGAGAGGACCGGAGUGGACGCAUCACUGGUGUUCGGGUUGUCAUGCCAAUGGCACUGCCCGGUAGCUAAAUGCGGAAGAGAUAAGUGCUGAAAGCAUCUAAGCACGAAACUUGCCCCGAGAUGAGUUCUCCCUGACUCCUUGAGAGUCCUGAAGGAACGUUGAAGACGACGACGUUGAUAGGCCGGGUGUGUAAGCGCAGCGAUGCGUUGAGCUAACCGGUACUAAUGAACCGUGAGGCUUAACCUU